CAAGGGAUGUGAAGGGUAACAAGAAGGGUUUCUACAGGUAUGUUAGCAACAAGAAGUAGUUCAGGGAAAGUGUGGGAACCUUGCUGAAUGUGGGAGGCAGCAUAGUGACAGAUGGUGUGGAAGAAGCUGUACUCAAUGCUUUUUUUGCCUCAGUCUUCAGAGACAAGGUCAAGUCCCAGACUACUGCACUGGGCAGCACAGUAUGGGGAGGAGAUGAGCAUCCCUCUGUGGUGAAAGACCAGGUUAAGGACUAUUUAGAAAAGCUGGAGAUGCACAAGUCCAUGGGGCCGGGAUGUGCUGCUAUCCA